rnacentral:rRNA from 1 species
CGAAAGCCUGACGGAGCAAGACCGCGUGAGGGAGGAAGGCUCUUGGGUUGUAAACCUCUUUUCUCAUGGAAGAAGCACUGACGGUACCUGAGGAAUCAGCAUCGGCUAACUCCGUGCCAGCAGCCGCGGUAAUACGGAGGAUGCAAGCGUUAUCCGGAUUUAUUGGGCGUAAAGCGUCCGCAGGUGGUAGUUCAAGUCGAUUGUCAAAGGCAGUAGCUUAACUACUGAGAGGCAGUGGAAACUGAAAGACUAGAGUGCGGUAGGGGUAGAGGGAAUUCCCGGUGUAGCGGUGAAAUGCGUAGAAAUCGGGAAGAACACCAGUGGCGAAAGCGCUCUGCUGGACCGGCACUGACACUGAGGGACGAAAGCUAGGGGAGCG